UUCUAAUAAAUUUCAUAUUAAAAAUAAAUUGUAUACAAAAAAUGCCAACAUUUUUCAAACAAUUUUGAAAAAAAACGCAAAAAUUUCAAUUUAAUUUUUCAAUUAAAGCAAAUGAAAAUGUUCCAAAUUAUUUGAAUCAAUCAACAUAUAAUCAAGAUACAAGAAACAAAAUUAUAUGUAUUUCAAUCCAUACAUUUCAAGAAACUCACCAAAUCAUCCUUUAUUUUCAGCCAUGGUAUAGUUGGCGGAUAGUAUUUUAAAGCCUCCGGCCUGGAACAUUGUCCCAACAGAACGCCAAUUUUGAUAAAAUAAUUUAAUCAUUUGAACGUGUUAUUGAACGCUAUAACCGUCCAUGGCGAUUUGACAAAUCAAACUGAAUAAAUGACAGUCAAUUCGCCGCAUAAAUCAUCAACAAUGUGGCCGCUAUUAACUGCCAAAGUUCGGAGGUCUCUUUUGGAGGAGCCUUUAUAAAGAAUUUCUAUUCAAGCUAAAAUUUAACUGAAUAGAGAGGCUAAAUUGAGAUUCAAUAGAGACUUGCAAUUGAAACAAUAUUUAUGAUUUUAUUUCCAUUUAUACUUGUGGUACCUUUGUGUGCCUGUCUGUCUGUCCCUCAACAUGACUGUUUCAAAAAUUAAUAAAAUAAACAUUGAUUUUUGG